GAUGUCAAUGGGUGGGAUCUAGUGGGCAGCAAGUGAACAGUCACUUCUUGAAUUUCAUUAGUUAGAAGUAGGAAAAAUAGGCAAGCGAAAAUAUGUAAAUUAAUUGACAAGAGCCAAAUAGUUGUGGCUAGACUGGGUCCGAGCAUUUCCAAAACUGCAAGACCUGUGGGAUGAUCCUGGUAUACAGUGGUUAGUACAUACAAAAAGUGGUUCAAGGAAGGACAACGGGUGCCCAAUGCUUACUAAUGCAUGUGGGUAGCAAAGGCUAGCCCGUCUGAUCUGAUCACACAGAAAAGCUAGUUUAGCUCAAAUUGCUGGUAUACGGCUGUUUUGUUAAAGACUAGUCACUGGCAAAAGCACCUUCACCAGGGAAGUGUGCAUCAAACUGGAUCAGGGAAGAAGGUUGGUCUGGUGAAUUGUGUUUUCUUUAAGAUCAGCUGGAUGGCAGUGGGUUUACCUGGGGCAGAGAUGGAAGAAGGAUGCAAUAUGAAAAGACAAGCCGAUGGAAGCAGUCUUAUGCUUUGUGCAAUGUUCUGCUGGGAAACCUUGGGCCCCUUAAACACAAAAUCCCCACAAAAGUUACAUCCCCUGAUAGCCCUGAUCUGGGUAACCAGAUAACCAACAUAUCCAAAAAUCACCCAGAUCAGUUCAGGAAUUUGCUGGAAGUCGUAAUUUGACCAACUGCCUGCAUGGUCCCAUGCCCAAAACAGUUCCAGAGAAUCAGGUCUUGCAGUCAGUCUAGAUCGGUAAAAAAAAAACUACCGAACAUAGUCAAUAGUCUUACCCUGGAGCUUGAUCCCCUUGUUUGUGGAAAUGUUUCCACCGAACAGUGUCUUCCCAAGUGUUCUAAAACCGAACACAGAUGAUCAUGGAAGUCCAACAGUGUUCGGGAGUUUCAGUGUCCAAAAACAGUUCCAU